UACAGAGGUCUCAAGCGUUGUUCGGAUUCAUUGGGCGUAAAGGGUGCGUAGGCGGCCACUGCAAGUCGGUUGUGAAAUCUCCGGGCUUAACCCGGAAAGGUCAAUCGAUACUGCAGGGCUAGAGUGCAGAAGGGGCAACUGGAAUUCUCGGUGUAGCGGUGAAAUGCGUAGAUAUCGAGAGGAACACCUGCGGCGAAGGCGGGUUGCUGGGCUGACACUGACGCUGAAGCGCGAAAGCUAGGGGAGCGAACGGG
rnacentral:rRNA from 1 species